rnacentral:sRNA from 1 species
GGGCCUAGGGCAAAGGGACUACAAAAAGGAUGCAGAUGACUAUAGAAAUGAGGACGACGAGGAGAUGCUGUGGAGGAGCAGUAGAGGGCCAACAGGCAGUGGAAAGACGACAUUCAUCAGUGAGUAUGCCCUGGAUUUGUGUUCCCAGGGGGUGAACACACUGUGGGGUAGCUUCGAGAUCAGCAAUGUGAGACUAGCCCGGGUCAUGCUGACACAGUUUGCCGAGGGGCGGCUGGAAGAUCAACUGGACAAAUAUGAUCACUGGGCUGACCGCUUUGAGGACCUGCCCCUCUAUUUCAUGACUUUCCAUGGACAGCAAAGCAUCAG